rnacentral:tRNA from 1 species
GCACGUUUAGGUAUUAGGUUUAGCCUAGUCCCCGACUGAUGGCUUAAAGCGAGGGUUCGAUUCCCUUAACGUGCU